UACGGGGGGGGCAAGCGUUGUUCGGAAUUACUGGGCGUAAAGGGCUCGUAGGCGGCCAACUAAGUCGGACGUGAAAUCCCUCGGCUUAACCGGGGAACUGCAUCCGAUACUGGCAGGCUUGAAUCCGGGAGAGGGAUGUGGAAUUCCAGGUGUAGCGGUGAAAUGCGUAGAUAUCUGGAGGAACACCGGUGGCGAAGGCGGCAUCCUGGACCGGUAUUGACGCUGAGGCGCGAAAGCCAGGGGAGCAAACAGG
rnacentral:rRNA from 1 species